CUUCCACGGGAAGUUAUCGAAGCCACCGCCCCUCCCCCACGCUCUGGAGCCCAUGGGGCUGAUUUUCCCCACCCCUGGUGCUCCUUAGGGGCUGAACUCCCCGCUCUGGACCUUCUGCACCCCCAAAAUCCUAUCCCACCCAAUUCACCCCCUCCCCUUCUGGCUGGUGCUGCUCCCCCCAGAACCUUCAGGUGGCGUACUAGCCCCCCCCGGUUGGGGGUCGUGUUCUCGUGACCUUCGAGAGGGGCUAAAAAUAGUCUCAAACCGGGGGGGACACGUAGGGACCGUCGUCAAGUGCCACCAGCCUCGAGCACUUGUGGCCCCACCUCGUUUGCCCCAGCGGGGUCUGAACUUGAUCACGUUCCCUCCAGCGGGGAGGGGCGAAGGGAAAGGGAUAAAUAAUCCUGUGGGACACCUGUGGGAGAGGGGCAGGGUCCCACGAAAAGGCAGCACUGGGUGAGAAGGGCCCAGACCCACCCUGCACCCCUUUGAAUGUCCUGAGUAGUGGGGAGGGGAGUCUGGGAUCAUUCACGAUCCUCCAUGGGGGCACAGAGGGCCACAUCAGAGCACUUGGACAUGGGGGUUUCCCCCACAGCAGCUGGGGGGGUGUGUCUGUGGAGACCAGGGUCAGGCUGGGACCCCCAUGACUUUGGCCUUGACUCCUGGGUCCCCUACCCCACAGCCAUGUCCAUCCACAAGAUUGCAGCACUGGAGCUUCUGAAAGCAGCCAUUGAGAAGGCUGGGUACCUGGACAAGGUGGUCAUUGGCAUGGACAUAGCAGCUGCUGAGUUCUGCUGUGAUGGCAAAUAGAACCUGGACUUCAAAUCCCCCCCCCUGCAUCCCAAGCACCCUCAUCACCCAGGGACAGCUCUACGAGAGCUUCAUCAAAGACUAUGCCAGUGAGCACUGGCAUGAAACUGGGUGGGCACUGAGAGGGACUUGGGUGGAACUGGGAGGCACUGGGAAGCAGGAGAGUGACACUGAGGACUGGGAGGCACCGCAGGGCAUUGGGAUGAACUGGAACAGACUGGGGGUAAUUGGGAAGCACAGGGUAGGCAGCCAGGGACUCUAAUAGCUCAUACAAGGCUGUGCCCAGGGCCCUCUCCCUUCCCACCAGGUGACUGGGCCACAUUGGUGCACUCUAAUACCUGCUGGUGGCCAUUUCCCCACAGUGGUGUCAACUGAGAACCCCUCUGACCAGAAUAACGUGGGGGGCUGGAAGUGGUUCCUGACACAGGCGGACAUCCAGGUGGUGGGCAGUGACCUGACAGCAACAUCCUGAAGCACAUCACACAGGCAGCCGAGGUUGCAGGCACGCAGCUGCCUCCUGCUCAAGGUCAACCAGAUCGCAUCACCAUGUCCACCCAGGUGUGAGUACACGUGCAAAUCCCCACCGCUGAAGCCAUCCAGGCUGAGUCUGUGCAAACCCUCCUGCAAAUCUCUGUGGAAGCCCCGCAGGUCACUGCGUCCACCCAGGUGCGAGUGUAUGGCCAAAUCCUUGUGCAAAGCCUUGGGAAAAGGCUCCUUGCAAAGAGGCCUCAUGCCGACUGUUGUAAGAGGCGAGGCCUCUUCACAAAAGGUGCAAACGCCCCUCAUCACUGUGGCCAUGAAGUGCAAAGCCCUUGUGUGAAAACCUCAUGCACAACCCUUGUGCAAGCUCAUGUCCCCAUGUCACCUCCCAUGACCCCUCCUGUGUACCCCCACAGGUGCAAGCUGGCCCAGAGCCAUGGCUGGGGGGUCAUGGUAAUGCACCGCUAGGGUAAGACUGAGGACACCUUCAUCACUGACCUCGUUGUGGGGUCUGGACUGGCCAGGGGAGUCCCUGCAACCUCUGUCACCCUCCCUGUUUCCUCCAUGACAGCCUUCAUUGUCCCCCAUCCCCCAGAUCAAGACGGGUGCUCCCUGUUGUUGCUCCAAGCACUUUGCCAAGUACAACCAGCUGAUGAGGAUCCAAGAGGUGCUGGGAGACAAGGCCAAGUUGGCAGGGCGCAAAUUCCGAAACCUCAAGGGCCAAGUACGAGGGGAAGAGCAGUGGGGCCCACCCUGGAGGCCCCAUCAAGGGGUUCCCCCCACCCCCAAUAAACUUUGUGAAGUACCAGGA